GCGUCUUGAUAAUAAUAUCUAUAGUUGAUGGGAAAGUGGGAAUCAUACAAUAUCCUGUAGUCAUAGCUUUCAUAAUGUUUCAUACGGAUAUUACCUCGAAUACAAGACUCAAAAGCUGCGGCUCGGGACGGUGACAACAAAAGGUUGUUAGAUGAUGUGCGCCAUCUGGCGGAAGCGUUCUGGGCGUGCGACGACCGAUUGUAAGCUCAGAUUGUAAGCUGUGUUUGUGUUGUGCUGGCAAGUCGGACAUAAAUAACAGUUGAUACGGCGUUAGUUACUCGAAUUAAGAGUCUCAAGUGAAAUCUCUUGCUUACGGGAUUCAAGAAAGACCUUACACAAGAUUCUCUAUACAUGUACAUCCUACAUGAAUUGGAAGCUAGAAUGCUUGUUGGAGUACUUCGGAUAAGCCAUCGUAAAGCAGCUGUAAGGACUGUCUCCUGACCCCUGGUGUACACGUUUGUACGUGGCUGAACACUUCAAACAUGUGCCCACGGGUUUUUGCAAUGCUCCGGUAUAACGCCUUAGCAUCUAAGUGGAUUUCAAAUUUAUAAUUGCACCUGGGGCGCGUGAGGGCAUUGGCGGUUGGAACUGGAAUGAAAUUCGUUUAAAGGUACGUGACGUAUAUAUAUAUAUACACGGCAUACUGCGUUGGAAAUGUUGUAGUUUAUACAGCGUCACUCAUUAUUGUGUACGUGAGAUUAAUUAGCAAACCAGUAUUUUUUAUCAACUAGCUAGUAAUGAUGAUGACAGGAAAAUCUGUGCACGCACGCACAUUUAUAUACAUUUCACUCAGUUUUUUUCCGAAUGGCAACAUUAGUUUAUGUUUACAAAAUCGGGUGUGCCUACACCAAAGUACAACGAUCAUAUAAAUAAAUAAAUAAAUAAAAAUAAAUAAAUAUAUACAUAUCA